UAUAUGUAUGUAUAUAUAUAUAUAUUAUAUUGUUUUUAAUUUAUUUUACUUACUGAAUUGUAAUUUUUCCAAGUGAUGAUGUGCCCAGGUAUUUUGUCCGUUUUAGCGCACCUCUGGGGAUAACUGUGUCCUCGACCUAUUGCUAAGUGCGGACACACACCCACACUCUGAGCACUCUAGAGUGUAUAACUAAUUACCAGCUAGGGUAGAACGAGAGAGAUAAAGAGUGUGUGAGAGAGGGCCAGUCUGGGACGCCUGAUCACAGUCAUUUAGAGGAGAGUGGGGUAUGGCAGCGGCUGGCCUCCUCUGCUCCUGUAACCCUCUCAUCUCCUGUCUCUGCGCUUCCUCUCCCACCUCCCCCAAUGACCCUCCUCCUCAUCCCUCCCUGUGCUUCACAGAUGAGUUUAAGGGCACCAGCACCGUGGAGCUGAUCAAGAAGGAAGGCACAACCUUGGGCCUGACAGUAUCUGGAGGCAUUGACAAAGACGGCAAGCCCCGCGUCUCCAACCUGCGCCAGGGCGGCAUCGCUGCCAGGAGUGACCAGUUGAACGUAGGGGACUAUAUAAAGUCUGUGAAUGGAAUCAACUUGACAAAGUUUCGUCAUGAUGAGAUUAUUAGUCUGCUGAAGAAUGUGGGGGAGAGGGUCGUCCUGGAGGUCGAGUACGAGCUACCGCCUGUCUCUGUACAGGGCUCAGGGGUCAUGUUCAAAAACGUGGAGGUGACGCUGCACAAAGAAGGCAAUACAUUCGGUUUCGUCAUCAGAGGAGGCGCCCAUGAAGACAGAAACAAAUCUCGCCCGGUUACCAUAACAACCAUCAGACCUGGUGGUCCGGCUGACAGGGAAGGCACCAUCAAACCUGGCGACAGGCUGCUCAGUAUUGACGGAAUUCGUCUGCAUGGAGCGUCUCACGCAGAGGCCAUGAGCAUCCUCAAACAAUGCGGCCAGGAAGCAACUCUUCUCAUAGAGUAUGAUGUGUCAGUCAUGGAUUCUGUAGCCACAGCUUCAGGCCCGCUGUUGGUGGAGGUGGCUAAGUCCAUGGGUUCCAGUUUAGGUCUGGCUCUCUCUACCUCCAUGUACUGCAAUAAGCAGGUCAUCAUCAUCGACAAGGUCAAACCAGCCAGCAUCGCCGAUAGGUGUGGUGCACUGCAUGCAGGUGAUCACAUCCUCUCGGUGGAUGGCACAAGUAUGGAGUAUUGCACACUGGCUGAGGCCACCCAGCUGCUAGCUAGCGCUUCUGAACACGUCAAAAUGGAGAUUCUGCCUCACCACCAGACAAGACUGGCCCUCAAGGGCCCUGAACAUGUCAAGGUGCAGAGGAGUAACCGGCCAUUGCCCUGGGAAUCCGGAACCAACAACAACAGCAACUUCCUUCCCUAUCAACACUAUAACACCUACCACCCUGACCAGUCCCGCAGCCAGACCAAGCAAAAAACCUCUCCAAACAACCCCCCUCUGGGUUCAUCCUUCUCUCCCACCUCCAUGAGUGCCUACAGUCUGAGUUCACUCAACAUGAACACGCUGCCACGCACCAUGUAUCCCACAAGUCCCCGUGGCACCAUGAUGAGACGCAAACUGAAGAAGAAAGACUACAAGAGCUCAAUGUCCCUGGCUUCCAGUACGGUAGGACUUGCUGGUCAGGUGGUCCACACAGAAACAACAGAGGUGACCCUCAUCAGUGACUCCAUCAUGGGCUUUGGGAUCCAGCUUCAGGGAGGAGUCUUUGCCACGGAAACCCUGUCCUCUCCGCCGCUCAUCGCUUACAUAGACCCCGACAGCCCGGCGGAGCGGUGCGGCAUCCUGCAGAUUGGCGACCGCAUCCUGUCAAUAAAUGGCAUCCCCACUGAGGACAGCACGCUGGAGGAGACCAAUCAGCUGCUGAGGGACUCCAGCAUCACCAGCAAAGUCACACUAGAGAUUGAGUUUGACGUAGCAGAAUCGGUUAUCCCAAGCAGUGGAACCUUCCAUGUGAAGCUACCAAAGAAGCCAGGUGUGGAGCUGGGCAUCACCAUCAGCUCCCCUUCUAGUAGGAAGCCUGGAGAUGCACUCAUCAUCUCUGACAUAAAGAAAGGCAGCGUGGCGCACAGGACGGGCACCCUGGAGCUGGGGGAUAAGCUUCUGGCAAUAGACAACAUCCGUCUGGAUAACUGCUCCAUGGAGGACGCCGUUCAAAUCCUGCAGCAGUGCGAAGACCUGGUUAAACUCAAGAUCCGCAAGGACGAGGACAACUCAGGUACCUCUGAGCCUCUGCAACUACAAACCCCACGCGGACACAAAUUAACACUAAAAGCCCCCAUCAACAGUCUGAAGGGCAAACCUCUCAGUGAGGCCAUCCACCUGCUGCAGAUGGCAGGGGAGUCCGUCACACUGAAGAUCAAGAAGCAGGGAGAAUGUGAGUUGGCAAGCCCAAAGCAGCCCUCAGUAACGGGCCGUUUAAACGAUCUGAGCGAUAUGGAGGAUGACGGUCAGGCUGGGCAGAAACUCGGUAAACUCUCAGACAUCUAUUCCACCACUAUUCCCAGUGUGGACAGCGCAGUGGAAUCCUGGGAUGGCUCCGCCAUUGACGCCACAUUCAGCACCCAAGGUUUCCAGGCAUCGGGCUACAGUUUCCACAGCCAUGAGUGGAGGAAUGCCAAGCCCGGCCGGGGCAGCCUCUCCCCAGUGAACAGCAGUCGGCAGAGGAACAACAUCCUGCCGGACUUUGGACUCGGUGUGGAUGAAUGGGACAGGCCAAGCGCUAGCGGGUACAUUAAUAUACUACUUGUAAAUUAUACACAACAGUUUAAAUACACAUUCCAGCAUAUAAUGAAUCUUAUUUUUAUAGGAUUAGUUCACUAUUUACUAGUCAUCAUGUCUUUCCAAACUCAUAUGGCCACCAUCAUGUCGGGCAGCUCUUUGAGUUUAAACCACGAUCCUGCACCCACCCGAAGCCAUCUGGGCCGCCAGGCCAGCUUUCAGGAACGUGGCAGCAACAAACCACAAUACACACAGGCCAACCGCAGCAACACGCUGCCCACCGAUGUCGGCAGAAAAGCUUUCUCCAUGAGGAGAAUGAAGCAGGAGAUCAAAGACAUCAUGUCGCCCACCCCGGUUGAACUUCACAAGGUGAGCCUUUUGAAGGACUCGGACCUUGAGGACUUUGGGUUUAGCGUGUCUGACGGAGUCUUGGAGAAGGGGGUUUAUGUAAACAAUAUCCGUCCAGGCGGCCCUGCUGAAAUCGGAGGACUCAAGCCAUACGAUAGACUGCUACAGAUAAACCACGUCCGGACUAGAGACUUUGACUGCUGCUUAGUGGUUCCUCUUAUAGCAGAGUCCGGGAACAAACUGGAUCUAGUCAUAAGCCGAAACCCGGUUUCCUCGCAGCCCUCAGAACUAAACCCGUUGUCCAAUGACGAGACAGCAAACUGGACUGACCCCGGGGACCCUGUCGUGCAGCCCACCGCAGGGCUGGAGCAGGGCCAGCACAACUCCACGCUAGCGGGACUAGAGGACAGAGACCCCAACAAGACUUUAUAGCAGAACUCCUCCCAGGUGCCUGCAGUGGAGCGCUCCUCCACAUGGUGCUAAAGAGAACCCUCCCCUCCCUAAAACGGCUCCCUCUAGUGGAGGACAACGAGAGGGGCUUGUUGUCCUAUAGCACACACCCAGUCCCUUUCCUAAGUCAGAGCAUGAACAACCAUGACUAAGAGGUCCUUUCCUGACAAGCUGGGUGUGUUUUUACCCUGUGAAAAUGGCGGCGAAGACCACACUGACCUCUUGGAAAACCAAAUUGUGGGGGGGAAAAAAAACCUGAAACAGUGCCAUCCCUGAUUUUUAUUGCCAAUAAAUGAGAAUAGUUUUAAGGAGGAGUCA
ensembl:lncRNA